UGAGAAGUUGAGAACUAUAUAUAUAUACACACAUAUGGUAAAUAAAAGGAAAAAAAUGCUCAAACACCUCCUGAUCUUUCAAGUAGCGGUCAUAACACCCCUUAAUUUUAAUUUUGGCCAAUAUACUACUUGAACUCACGUGAGAGGCACCUCGGUAUAACCUGAACCGUUGAGAGAGAGGGAGAAAGUUUGGGCUCAGUUUAGAGAGAGAGGGGAGAUGAUCCAACCAAAAGUCCAUAAACACCUCGGUAUCCUCUCUCCGGUGCCGGAGUUCCGCCGUCGUCUCACUGGCUGUUCACCGCUGGAUCAUAAUGUAUGCUAUUGGAGAAGAACAAAGUCAAAAUGCACAUAUCAAAAAAAAAAAAAAAAAAAAAAAAAAAAAAAAACAAAGUUGAAAUGCACAUAGAGGAUCCCCAAGUGGCUUGGAGGACAUAUCAAUAUAUUUUACCAAAAUGUCAAACUCAUUUGUCAUGUGGAGAAAAUCAAUCAAGAUGGAGGAGAUGUUUUCAGUGGCUUUUGUAAAUCUGGACUCUAGUACCAGCUUACUAUAUAUACAUUGCAGUGACUAUCUAUGUAGGAGCCCUAAAAACAGGGCUUGUGAUGUAAUAUACCUACUAGCUGUGGAAUGAUUCAAGCAUACGAUGAUUGAGAAGAAACUCAAACACAUUCUCCAAUCUUAUUUUAUUUCAUUUUCUUGUUUGAUUA